rnacentral:misc_RNA from 1 species
AUCACUCUCUCUCUCUCUCUCUUUACCAGAAUACCGUUAAUUGUUCUUGGAUGUCGAUUAACUUGGGGAGGAAAUAAUGAUUAGCGUGCUGCGAUUUUGCCUGUCAUUUUCGCCUAUAGUUUGGAUCAUGUAGAUAGGUGAACUUGAUCAAAGAACGCUUCAAACUAGAUUCUUUCCACCACUUUAUGCAUUAUGCUUUAUGGAACAAGUUCAUGUAAUUCUGUGUUGCGGUUGUAUUUAAUUUCACUUUGUAAACUGGAAUCAGUCCACUUAAAUGUACAUGUCUGG